rnacentral:rRNA from 1 species
CUCGUGUCGUGAGAUGUUGGGUUAAGUCCCGCAACGAGCGCAACCCCUAUUGUUAGUUGCCAUCAUUCAGUUGGGCACUCUAGCGAGACUGCCGGUAAUAAACCGGAGGAAGGUGGGGAUGACGUCAAAUCAUCAUGCCCCUUAUGACCUGGGCUACACACGUGCUACAAUGGUUGGUACAACGAGUUGCGAGUCGGUGACGGCGAGCUAAUCUCUUAAAGCCAAUCUCAGUUCGGAUUGUAGGCUGCAACUCGCCUACAUGAAGUCGGAAUCGCUAGUAAUCGCGGAUCAGCACGCCGCGGUGAAUACGUUCCCGGGCCUU